rnacentral:rRNA from 1 species
UACGAAGGGGGCUAGCGUUGCUCGGAAUCACUGGGCGUAAAGCGCCGCGUAGGCGGAUUGUUAAGUCAGGGGUGAACUCCUGGAGCUCAACUCCAGAACUGCCUUUGAUACUGGCGAUCUCGAGUCCGGGAGAGGUGAGUGGAACUGCGAGUGUAGAGGGUGAAAUUCGUAGAUAUUCGCAAGAACACCAGCGGCGAAGGCGGCUCACUGG